rnacentral:rRNA from 1 species
UGCUGGAGGUAUCAGAAGUGCGAAUGCUGACAUAAGUAACGAUAAAGCGGGUGAAAAGCCCGCUCGCCGGAAGACCAAGGGUUCCUGUCCAACGUUAAUCGGGGCAGGGUGAGUCGACCCCUAAGGCGAGGCCGAAAGGCGUAGUCGAUGGGAAACAGGUUAAUAUUCCUGUACUUGGUGUUACUGCGAAGGGGGGACGGAGAAGGCUAUGUUGGCCGGGCGACGGUUGUCCCGGUUUAAGCGUGUAGGCUGGUUUUCCAGGCAAAUCCGGAAAAUCAAGGCUGAGGCGUGAUGACGAGGCACUACGGUGCUGAAGCAACAAAUGCCCUGCUUCCAGGAAAAGCCUCUAAGCAUCAGGUAACAUCAAAUCGUACCCCAAACCGACACAGGUGGUCAGGUAGAGAAUACCAAGGCGCUUGAGAGAACUCGGGUGAAGGAACUAGGCAAAAUGGUGCCGUAACUUCGGGAGAA